rnacentral:rRNA from 1 species
UACGUAGGGGGGCAAGCGUUGUCCGGAUUUUAUUGGGCGUAAAGAGCGUGUAGGCGGUUUGGUAGGUCCGCUGUGAAAACUCGAGCUCAACCUCGAGACGCCGGUGGAAACCAUCAGACUAGAGUCCGGAAGAGGAGAGUGGAAUUCCUGGUGUAGCGGUGAAAUGCGCAGAUAUCAGGAGGAACACCAAUGGCGAAGGCAGCUCGCUGGGGACGGUACUGACGCUGAGACGCGAAAGCGUGGGGAGCAAACAGG